GGGGCUGAUUUUGGAUUUGACAGCAAGAUCAGUUAUAGAAGAAAGCAUAUCGUGUCACGUAAGGUAUUACACGAAAAUCAAGCGUUACAAAAUAUAUAAAUGGCGAAAAAGAAUACGCUUUUGCUGCUUAAUGUUGUUAAAAACGUUAUAGCUUAGUCUGCAGAAAAAGCAGAAGCAAAAUAUCUCUCAGAAAUUUUUCCUUAUAAUUUCUGAUAUAGAGGUACUCAAAAGUAUUAAGGAUAAGAAAACAGAUGAUUCUUAAGUUUUCUGAAAUUAAAUUUUGAAUUUUAAGUUUUUAUUCAAGAUCCAAAACUUGGAUAAAAAAAUAUAAAAAUUUUUGGAUAAAUAUGUAGAAAUCUUUUAUACUACUUGUUUGGACGCGGGUUCGAAUCCCGCCAGCUCCAC
rnacentral:tmRNA from 1 species